rnacentral:rRNA from 1 species
AGCGAACGCUGGCGGCAGGCCUAACACAUGCAAGUCGAACGAACCCUUCGGGGUUAGUGGCGGACGGGUGAGUAACACGUGGGAACGUGCCUUUAGGUUCGGAAUAACUCAGGGAAACUUGUUCUAAUACCGAAUGUGCCCUUCGGGGGAAAGAUUUAUCGCCUUUAGAGCGGCCCGGGUCGCAUUCGCUAGUGGGUGAGGUAAUGGCUCACCACGGCUACGUUCAGUAGCUGGUCUAAGACGAUGACCCGCCACCUUGGUACUGAGACACGGCCCAAACUCCUAAGGGAGCCAGCAGUUGGGAAUCUUGCGCAAUGAGCGAAACCCUGACGCAGCCAUGCCUCGUGGAUGAUGAAGGUCUUAGGAUUGUAAAAUCCUUUCACCGGUGAAGAUAAAGACUGUAGCCGGAGAAGAAGCCCCGGCUAACUUCGUGCCAGCCGCCGCCGUAAAAC